rfam:Aedes albopictus isolate Foshan contig76502, whole genome shotgun sequence.
CAUAAUGUGGCUUAGUUGGUUAAAGCGCCGGUCUAGUGAAUACGGAGUCGUGGGUUUGAAUCUCACCAGAACGC